rnacentral:tRNA from 1 species
CUUUUAGCUCAGUGGAUAGAGCAAUAGCCUUCUAAGCUGGAAGUCACAGGUUCGAUUCCUGUAAG